rnacentral:lncRNA from 13 species
AUGUGUGAAAUUCCAGUAUUUUCAGCUUCAAACAUCUCGUUGGUGGCUUCUCACACCCAUAAGUGGGAGACAAAUCCUCUGCUGACCAUGCCUUCUGAUUUAGGGUGCAGAAAAGAGAGUCACUACAUAGCAGUUGGAAUGCACAUGAAAGAGGACUCAUCGGGGCCUGGAAUGGUCGGCAAAGCCUUUUGGAAGAAACUGCACUUGGAAUGCAGUUUGAAGGUGGAGAUGAUUGACCCCAGAAGAAAUGGAGUCUUCCUCUGUCACCCAGGCUGGAUUGCAGCGGCAUAUUGGCUUACUGAAACCUCUGCCUCGCAGGUUCAAGCAAUUCUCCUGCCUCAGCCUCCCAAGUAGCUGGGACUACAGACAGUUACUCAAUAGACUGAGCACUAUUUACUGAAUGAUCCUUUCUCUACUGCUGUACAGUGCUAGCUUGCAAGAUGGAAUGUCCAAGUAUGUGUGGAUCUUUUGAGGACUCUUUUCUGUAGUCUAUUUGUUUACCCUGACAUCAAUACCGCACUGUCUUAAUUACUGUAGCUUAAUUACCUAUAAGUCUUGAUAUCUGGUAGAAUAAGUCCUUAGGCGUUAGGCUAUUUAUGGCCUUUUGUAUUUCUGUAUACAUUUUAGAAGCCGCUCAUAAUUUUUUAUUAAAAUACACUGCUGUGAUUUUUAAUGGGGAUUGCAUAUAUUGGAGUUUAUGUUUCAUGGAGUUUUCUUCAAUCUGCCAAGAUGGAAUAUUCCCUCUAUUUGUGUAGGUCUUCAGUAAUUUCUCUCAAUAUAUGUUAUUUUCUCUGCAGAGGUCUUGUAUGUAUUUUGUUAGAUUUAUUCAAAAGUAUUUGGUAGUUUUGUUGCUACUAUGAAAUGAUUGCUCUAAAUUUUUAUUUUCUAAUUUUAAUGCUGGUAUUGAUUUCAUAGCAUGACCUUGUAUCUAGCAACCUUGCAAAGCUCACUUAUUAUUUAUGAUAUUUUAAUUUUAAUUAUUAUGGAUUUUCUUUGCAUAUACAAAUAACAUUUGCAAACAAUCAUAGUUUUAUCUCUUUCUACUCCUUAUACCCUUGGUUUAAUUUCUGUUAUUAUUGUAAUUGUUAGGAUUUCCAUUAGAAUGCUAUAAAGAAUUGGUGAUUCCUUGCGUAAUUCUCUUGUUCCUAGUCUCAGAGAGAAAGCGUUAAACAUUUCACCAUUUAUUAUCAUGUUGACUUUUUAUAUGGCCUUGAUGAAAUUAAAUAAAUUAUCUUCCUUUCUUAGUUCUUAAAGAGUC